rnacentral:tRNA from 1 species
UGCCGGGUGGACGAAUAGGCAAGUCGCAGUCCUCUGAAGUCUGAGAUACAGGUUCAAGCCCUGUCCCGGCAUCCA